UGUAAGCUGUAACCCACCUUCCUUCUCCCAGCCCCCCAUGGCUUAAUUAUCAUGUGCAGCCUAGUGGAGAUGAAAUAACGGAGACUCUCACACUAACACCCACACACCCACACAGGGAGGAUCGGAGGACUGCAUAUACAUAGACACACACACACACACACACAAGCAGACACACAAAUGCACAAAUAGGAGGAGAGAGACAACAUGGUCUGCUUUUAAUCGAAGCUAAUCGGCAAGGAAAAUAAACAUGCUGGCAUGGCAGACAUCUAUCUUUGAGGCUGAAGCUGCUAGAUAAGGAGGAACAGGCCUCUCAGACAUGUGUUCUUCUCUUUAAAACACCGCCUGCUCCUCGUUGGCAGAAUUAAGCUUUAAUAUGGGUCUUAGGAGGAAGCAUCUCCAAGGUGAAAAGGUGAAAUUAUGGGAUGGAUUUUUCCUAGACACAUCAAUCAUCUUUAACUCAGUUCUAUUUGUUGGGGUCAGAGCUGCCCUUCUUUGAAGGCCUUGCAUGCAAGAAAAUCCAAGCAAGAGGAGCUUUGAAAGGCAUUACAACAUUACUCAGACCGUCUGCAACUGAUCUGUCAAAGUUGCCACAUUGCUUUGCAUGAAUCUUUAAUUAGCUAAGAAAAGCCCUGUUAAGAGGGAAACGGCACAGCUCUUUUCAUAGCAUUUCGUCGUCCACGCCAGGUCAGCAAAGUCACUGAUCAACAGUGGCAAAAUAAAAACAGUCCUCUCCCACUCUGAAUAGAUCAGCGAGUAUGUGGAGAGAGAAAAAAAACUGAAAAAGGAAAACAGAAAAAGGGAGUGAGAGGCAAGAGUAGGAAUCUGUUAAAGCAAACAUUACUUUUUCCAAAAUCUAUGUUUAUCGCUUGUGUUCUAGGACAAAAUCACAUUAAGGAAGUAGAGUAAUAGAUAGAAACAGAGAGAACAAAGAGAAAUGCUCAGCAUCAAAGAGAAAAGGAAUGAAGGAGUCGGGAAGAGUAUCAGUCAUGGGGUAAUCGUUCUAUCAGUGGCCGGAGUAAUGAAUCCAAUUUCCCAAGCAGCGCCAGUGUCAUUUAGAAGCUGUGGAAUGCAGAUUCAUGAGCCCUGCACUUAGAAGCUUUUUGAACCUAUAGACACAUUAAAAGGCAUUCUGGGACAGACAUUCAUAUUGUCACAGCCUAUAUUGAAUUUCCUUGGUCUGGUGCAGUGCAAGAAAUAAGAACAUUUUUGAACCAACUCAGAGCCACUGAAUCCUGUCUGGAGAUGGGGAUUCAACUUUAUUUUUAACUGCAAGCCAAAGUGACACAUGAUGCAGUCCUGGAAACCCCAGACAUUAAACCGUUUUAAUGCACAAUAUAUAUAUAGCAUUUAAACAGAGAAUGGUAAGUCUGUUUUCCAAAAAGAAAACCGCACAAUCCACAGAUCCUUGAGUUAAUGAACUUCAAUAGUAUACAGCAUUCCUACUCCAAAUAUUUUAAUUAUCUAGUCAACUGCAAGCAUAUGCUGCAAAAAGAGAAGAAAAAAACAUCUUCACCCUCUAUCUGAUGGCUUUGAUGUUUGACCACAAAAUCCUGACGUUUUUGUCAACCGUCAGUGGCUUGUGGAACAGCAGGGAAGCAGACGCACACACUCAGUCAGGUCCGGGGCUAAUUUGCGGGGAUCACUGCACUGACCCUGACCAGAUAAGGUGCCAGUCGACGAAACUUCCUUCAUUUCCUCUUGUUGUUGCAAUAUGGGAGCAGAGGCAGCCACGAACCAGCUUAAGGACAGCAGGGCUAAAAGGUGAAAGCCACGCUCGGCUGAACUUCAGGCCUGAUCAAAAGGAAUGCGACCUAGGCUUGGGGAGGCAGCAGAGCUUAUCGGCCCAGCAGCAAGGCUUUGGAGGAGAAGAUCCCAAGCACCAGAUAGCUUCAGGUACAUUAUCUUUGGUGUAAGGAAUAGCGCGAUUUGUGGAUUUGUGGAGAGAAAAGCCUGUUUACUGCACAGCUAGAUGCAAGUGUGCAAUUAUCUGCUGACUAAAGAUUGCAUAGGCACCAGGCUGACAAAACAGGACUCGUUCACACCCAUGCUGGAGCAUCUCAUUCUGUAAAGAUGGAAAAACUAGUGUGCGACACGACAGGAGGGAAGCGAUUGGAGAUAAAUUGAAAGCGAUGGAAAGGAGAUGGAAGUACAGGAAGCAAGAGGGGAAAGGAGACGAAAGAGAGAGAGAGUUAAAAGACAGCCUGCCCUGCAUCGCUUCAUAGCCACAGGCAGUGGCACAGCACAGGAGAAAUGUGCUUACAUCAUCACAUGCGGUCCAGGCAUCCUGCAGAGGGCACUGCUAAUAGCAGAAACACAGAGUGGAGGAGGCAAGCAACCAACCCAGGAGGAACUCGGCAAAGCGAUCCCACGCAACUAGGAUUUCUGACAUUCUUGGCAGCCUUUCAGAGAGGUCAGUCCUAAAGUAUUCGAGACGAGCUAACCUUCAAGAGCAACCAUGUUCCAGCAAGCCGAGAGGCUUAAUUCAUCAUUAAUUAAAGUCUGCAUGGGGUACAAGGAUGAGUCUUUCUCAGAGAAUCUCUAACCCCACUAUCCAAAGUAAUAGCCCUAUGAUUUGGACAAGAUGUUUUGCCCUAGCAGGCGCUGGGUGAUAUCAUGGCAAAUGGAUUGCUUGUUUGAAUACUUUCUUCCCUAUAAGCACCAAGAGAGAAAGAGAGGGGAAGAGAUUCUGCACCAGUCUCCAUACAGCGACCCAGAUAAGGUCCUUUCCGUACAUGUGGAAUGGCUUGAACAUGUAACAUGUGAGUUAUGGAUGUACAGCACAUGCAACAAGGAUAGAAAUCAAAUACUGCCGUCAUUCAGGCUCACAGGCAGCAUGAGUCCAAGUCUAUUCCAAUGAUAACAAAGUCAAUGUCACUUUCCUAGAUUAUAUGCUCAAGUGUGCUUAAGUGGGAAUCACAAGUUACCAGCAUAAACACCGGCAGCACACUUCAUCAAUCUCUAUCUUUCCCGGCUAUCCUAACUUAGUCUACAGGCAUGGCUGCAAUGGCACGCAGCUGCCUUGUUCAAUGUAUCAGACCCAUCUCACCCUCAGCAACAUUUUUCUAGGUGUAAUAACAGAUAGGAUCACAUAGCAAAUGCCUGAGCAAAAGAUGAGAGCUAUGAUCACAUUAAAAUGAGCAGCAUUCUUCUCAUGACUCCUAUUAACCACUGAUGCAACUGAGUCUUUUUGUUUGUGUGAGUGCGUGUGUGUCUUUGCAGGUUCCAGAGGCGUGGGUAGCCAGCUGCAGAGCUGUUCUGGAUGCUGAUUGGAAGAAGCACCUGUAAUCCAUCUCCCUUUUCUGGGAUCGGUGUGGUAACGUGGCAUAAAUGUUUUAGGAAGAUUUAAUUAAUUGUUUCAGUGAGUGAUAAUAGCAGGUAAUACUUAUCACAGGUACGUUUGCUUUCAUAGCUUGGAAGUGCCGUCACCAAAGUCAGUGUAGUGUGCAACUCCAGUACUCCAAGAGCAGUACUAACAGUCAAAUGUGAGAAGCAAAAUAAUGCUUAUAACAUUUUUGCUUUGCUUUUUAAAAGUUUUGCUCUAAGGUAGCGGGUGUAUAGGGUUAACUACACUAUACCACUAUCUCUCUCCCUCUAACUGCAACGAAGAGGCAGUGUUCUUAGGCUUGUGUGUAUGUAUUAAGUCAGUCACUGAGAUAUGAGUGUUGUAAGUGCACAAGGGAUUAGUAGCUCAAACAUUGAUCACUGAUAAGCUACAAAAAGUGGUCAUGUAUCUUUUCACUGUCUCUACAAUGUUCUUCCUCUCAGCACUCAACUAAGCACUUUCUGUAUGUAGAACAAUACAAAAAAAAGACACAUUGCCUACCCUGAUGAAAUCCCUGUUUGACAUAGCUAGCCAAGAUCCCCCCCAGACAAAAACAAGCCAUUACUAUUAGUCAAAAGAGAUCAAAGACAUACCCCAGCUGAACACAGUGUUUGGGAUUGCAGCGCCUGACAGCCAUCUGCACUGGUAAGACAGGAACAAGCAUUAGACAUUGAUGGCAAAGGAGGUCCAAGUUUUUUUCUUAGCGUCAGGUCUGAUAAAUUUGUGCAAGCCACACUUUACUUGGAGGACAGAGGUGUAUGUGGAAAAAGUUACAUAGGGAGGGAGAGAGGGAAAGAAAAAGUGAAGACAGUAGAAAGUUAAUAAGAAGAUGUUGGGGAGAUUGAAAAGGGGAAGAGAAGGAGAGGAGGGGUUGUGCAGCAAGGUUGGAUAGAGGAUUGGUGAGGAAGACAGUAGGGAAAAACAGUAAGACUGCUUCUCCCUCAGUGACCCAAAUUGGCAAGGAGUUCAGAGUGAGCCUGCGUCUUCAUCUCAAAGCCCGUAGAGCAGUGGAUGCCCAGGACAAAUCAACACGUUUCACAGUUUGCCUGCAUAAAACGCAAAUACCAUCAGCUUCAAAAACUAUGAUCUUCCCUGGAGCAUAUGAGCAGGGGUUUGCUCCUCUGGGUUCACUGAAUUGGUCUGUGAAUCGAUCACAAAAACAGCAUUUCAAAGGGUUUCAGAAACUAUGAGGUCUUUCUCUUUCCCAGACUUGAACAAAACAGACUUCAGCAUAGACAGCCCUGCAGACACUUGUGGCUGUGAGGUCCCAAAAGGCUUAGAGAUGUCUCUAGUUUUUUAACCACCACUCAUAAAAGCUUGGUGAAAACAGCAGUAUAUCAAUCUAGUUCUGCACACCCAACAUAAGGCAAAGACUGAGGAAAAGAGAAGUAAACAGAGAAAAAAGAAGAAGACUUGAGCAAAGAAAGAGAGAGAUGUGAGCCUACAUAAAAUAAAAAAGGUUUGGACUCCAGCCCAACUGCAGAGAGUAGGAUUCAGAUGAUGUGGAGGAAGGGUGCCAUAUGUGCGUUGGUCACACUGACCAAGCUUGAACCUACAUGCAGCAACUUACUCGGGACAUGUGUUUUGGCUAUCAAAGUCAUUAAAAUUCCAUUACAUAGUGCAACAACAGAGAUCGUAAGUCUUUCUGAGACUUUAAGAACAUUAAUCAUGUGAAUUGACCAUGAAUAAUAUAUUUACAUGCACAAAGAUGCACACUGUUUGACAUUUGAUGGUUCUGCUACAGUAUAUUAUCAGUUUCAUAACAUUUAAUUUUAAUAAAGGAAGAUUUAACUGGUA